rnacentral:sRNA from 1 species
CCUGCGGCGGAAUGUAUUUUCCGAAAAAGGGUUGUUGCGCAGCGUGACCAUGCUGCGCGAGGACGACUUUACGUCCUCUGAUCGAGCCUUCACUGGCUCCCUGUGCGCCACGUCCCCAGAAGGGACGUGGCGUGUAGGUCU